rnacentral:rRNA from 1 species
GACGAACGCUGGCGGCGUGCCUAACACAUGCAAGUCGAACGGGGCCAGGGGCAACUCUGGUUCAGUGGCGGACGGGUGCGUAACACGUGAGGAACAUGACCUUCGGCGGGGGAGUAGCCGGCCCAACCGGCCGGGUAAGUACCGCGUACGACCACUUUGGGUACGAUCCCUCCGGUGGUGAAAGACAGCAAUGCGCCGAUGGAGUGCCUCGCGGCCUAUCAGCUAGUUGGUGAGGUAACGGCUCACCAAGGCGACGACGGGUAGCUGGUCUGAGAGGAUGGCCAGCCACAUUGGGACUGAGACACGGCCCAGACUCCUACGGGAGGCAGCAGUGGGGAAUAUUGCGCAAUGGACGAAAGUCUGACGCAGCGACGCCGCGUGUGGGAUGAC